rnacentral:rRNA from 1 species
UGAGUGAUGAAGGACUGUGGUCUGUAAAGCUCUUUUGUGAGGGACGAAUUCUGACGGUACCUCACGAAUAAGGAUCGGCUAAUUCCGUGCCAGCAGCCGCGGUAAUACGGGGGAUCCAAGCGUUAUUCGGAAUUAUUGGGCGUAAAGCGUACGUAGGCGGUUUGCCAAGUCUGGGGUUAAAGCCCGCAGCUUAACUGCGGAUCGGCCCUGGAAACUGGCAGACUUGAGUAUGGUAGGGGCAAGGGGAAUUCCACAUGUAGCGGUGAAAUGCGUAGAUAUGUGGAGGAACACCUGUGGCGAAAGCGCCUUGCUGGACUGUAACUGACGCUGAGGUACGAAAGCCAGGGGAGCAAAUGGGAUUAGAUACCCCAGUAGUCCUGGCCGUAAACGAUGGACACUAGGUGUGAUGCGUAUCGACCCGCGUCGUGCCGUAGCUAACGCGUUAAGUGUCCCGCCUGGGGAGUACGCACGCAAGUGUGAAACUCAAAGGAAUUGACGGGGGCCCGCACAAGCGGUGGAGCAUGUGGUUUAAUUCGAUGCAACCCGAAGAACCUUACCAGGGCUUGACAUGUCGAGAAUCCUGCGGAAACGUGGGAGUGCCUUCGGGAACUCGAACACAGGUGCUGCAUGGCUGUCGUCAGCUCGUGUCGUGAGAUGUUGGGUUAAGUCCCGCAACGAGCGCAACCCUUGUUGUCAGUUGCCAUCAUUAAGUUGGGCACUCUGGCGAGACUGCCGGGGACAACUCGGAGGAAGGUAGGGAUGACGUCAAGUCAGCAUGGCCCUUACGCCCUGGGCUACACACGUGCUACAAUGCGGCGGACAAAGAGUUGCGAACCUGCGAAGGGGAGCCAAUCUCAAAAACCGUCGCUCAGUUCAGAUUGGAGGCUGCAACUCGCCUCCAUGAAGUCGGAAUCGCUAGUAAUCGCAGGUCAGCAUACUGCGGUGAAUACGUUCCCGGGCCUUGUACACACCGCCCGUCACACCAUGGAAGCUGGUCAUGCCCGAAGUCGGUGUACCCGCCGAAGGCAGGGCUGGCGACUGGGGUGAAGUCGUAACAAGGUAACCGUA